rnacentral:rRNA from 1 species
GACCACGAUCCAACCCUAAAUACUAAUACCAGAUCGAUAGUGCACAAGUACCGUGAGGGAAAGGUGAAAAGAACUGAGGUGAUCAGAGUGAAAUAGAACCUGAAACCAUUUGCUUACAAUCAUUCAGAGCCCUAUGUAGCAAUACAGGGUGAUGGACUGCCUUUUGCAUAAUGAGCCUGCGAGUUGUGGUGUCUGGCAAGGUUAAGCAAACGCGAAGCCGUAGCGAAAGCGAGUCUGAAUAGGGCGCUUAGUCAGAUGCUGCAGACCCGAAACGAAGUGAUCUAUCCAUGAGCAAGUUGAAGCUAGUGUAAGAACUAGUGGAGGACUGAACCCAUAGGCGUUGAAAAGCCCCGGGAUGACUUGUGGAUAGGGGUGAAAGGCCAAUCAAACUUCGUGAUAGCUGGUUCUCUCCGAAAUAUAUUUAGGUAUAGCGUUGUGUCGUAAUAUAAGGGGGUAGAGCACUGAAUGGGCUAGGGCAUACACCAAUGUACCAAACCCUAUCAAACUCCGAAUACCUUAUAUGUAAUCACAGCAGUCAGGCGGCGAGUGAUAAAAUCCGUCGUCAAGAGGGAAACAACCCAGACUACCAGCUAAGGUCCCUAAAUCUUACUUAAGUGGAAAACGAUGUGAAGUUACUUAAACAACCAGGAGGUUGGCUUAGAAGCAGCCAUCCUUUAAAGAAAGCGUAAUAGCUCACUGGUCUAGUGAUUUUGCGCGGAAAAUAUAACGGGGCUAAAGUAA